rnacentral:rRNA from 1 species
CAGUAGCCACGGUAAUACGGAGGGGGCUAGCGUUGUUCGGAAUUACUGGGCGUAAAGCGCACGUAGGCGGCUUGGUAAGUUAGAGGUGAAAGCCUGGAGCUCAACUCCAGAAUUGCCUUUAAGACUGCCGAGCUAGCAGGUGAGAGAGGUAAGUGGAAUUCCGAGUGUAGAGGUGAAAUUCGUAGAUAUUCGGAAGAACACCAGUGGCGAAGGCGGCUUACUGGCUCAUACUGGACGCUGAGGUGCGAAAGCGGGGGGAGCAAACAGGAUUAGAUACCCCUGUAGUCCCUGUCUCUUAUAC